CCUCGUCCCAGGCCGGGCGGGCAGGAGCUGGGGAUGGGGGACCGUCGGAGCGGCAGGGGACUCACCUGCAGCAGCACCGCCAGCAGGAAGCACAGAAAUUACCAGUCCCUCAAAUGUUCUUAGAACCAGCUUUUCCACCCUACUGGUUCCUUCAUCAAUUAAAAUAAAAUCAACAAGGGUUCAUUCUAUAUUGUGUUAAUUUACAUUAUCUUGGAACAUACAUACUAAAAGCAGUUGGUGAUUGUGCGGACAGCAAAUGCAACCUUGGAGUGUCAGAAAUGAGGUCUACGGGUUGAUAGAGGCCAGGUGUGCAGUACUGAGGAGCUUCAACUUUUUCCUACAGCGUCCCGGUGACCGGGUUGCCCUUGCGUCACCAUCUUCUUCCCGAGGUGGAGACAUGAGACAUGCCCGUUGAGGAUAAAAUGAAGAACUAAAGUAAGUGAAAGAUAAUGAGAUUUUAGGAGCGCCAUGUCUAUGGCAUAAAAUAAAUUAAGAUAACUGAUCAUGAAGGUGUUUGAAUAAAGAUAUUUGAGUCA